rnacentral:lncRNA from 10 species
GAUUUCUAAACCCUGAUCAUUGCUUAAGAGAUAUUCACUGAGGAGUCUUGCUCUAUUGCCCAGGCUGCAACUGGUGUGAUCUCGGCUCACUACAACCUCUGCCUCCUGGGUUCAAGCGAUUCUCCUGCCUCAAGCUCCCAAGUAGCUGGGAUUACAAGCAUGCACCACCAUGCCUGGCUAAUUUUUGUAUUUUUAGUGGAGACGGGGUUUCGCCACAUUGGCCAGGGUGGUCUUGAACUCCUGACCUCAAGUGAUCCACCUGCCUUGGCCUCCCAAAGUGCUGGGAUUAUAAGCAUGAGCCACUGCACCCAGCCUUAUACUGAACUUUCAAUGGGUUCAAUUCCACUAGGAGCAUAAAGGCCACUGCAUAUGAGUUGUGGAAAGAAGAGAUUAGAAGAAGGAAGAACUUGAGAUGAGUUCCUCCCUUCAACAUUCUGUCUCCUCCUACCUAGCAUCUUCUUUCUUUUAGUCUUUCUAGAAUGUCCAUCUGUUUUUGGCCAUUGCGGAGAGAGAAGCUGAGCUUUAAAGGAGUAGGAGCUUCAAAGGCGUAGGAGCUUCAAAAUUCUUGUUUCUUCAUGUUUGAUCACCCUUCUAAACCUGUCUUCUGUUCCUUCUGCUAUUCUUUUUUCUUAGAGCAUAGGAAAGGG